rnacentral:rRNA from 1 species
UACGAAGGGGGCUAGCGUUGCUCGGAAUUACUGGGCGUAAGGGCGCGUAGGCGGACAGUUAAGUCAGAGGUGGAAAGCCCAGGGCUCAACCCUGGAAUUGCCUUUGAUACUGACUGUCUUGAGUACGGGAGAGGUGUGUGGAACUCCGAGUGUAGAGGUGAAAUUCGUAGAUAUUCGGAAGAACACCAGUGGCGAAGGCGACACACUGGCCCGUUACUGACGCUGAGGCGCGAAAGCGUGGGGAGCAAACAGG